GAUGAACGCUGACAGAAUGCUUAACACAUGCAAGUCAACUUGAAUUUGGGUUUUUAACUUAGGUUUGGGUGGCGGACGGGUGAGUAACGCGUAAAGAACUUGCCUCACAGCUAGGGACAACAUUUGGAAACGAAUGCUAAUACCUAAUAUUAUUAUAAUAGGGCAUCCUAUAAUUAUGAAAGCUAUAAGCGCUGUGAGAGAGCUUUGCGUCCCAUUAGCUAGUUGGAGAGGUAACGGCUCACCAAGGCGAUGAUGGGUAGCCGGCCUGAGAGGGUGAUCGGCCACAAGGGGACUGAGACACGGCCCUUACUCCUACGGGAGGCAGCAGUGGGGAAUAUUGGACAAUGGACCGAGAGUCUGAUCCAGCAAUUCUGUGUGCACGAUGAAGUUUUUCGGAAUGUAAAGUGCUUUCAGUUGGGAAGAAACAAAUGACGGUACCAACAGAAGAAGUGACGGCUAAAUACGUG
rnacentral:rRNA from 1 species